rnacentral:lncRNA from 10 species
UGUCACUGCUCUCCAGCCUGGGCAACAGAGUGGGACUAUGUUAAAGACUUCUCUUAACCAAUACUGUUAAGAAAAUAAAGCAGAUCACACACUGAGAGGAAAUAUUUGCAAUACACAUAACUGAAGAAGGACUUAUAUUUAGACUACAUAAGCAACUUUAUAAGUCUGUGGCCUACUGGAGGGUGAAGACACUCACUGGGUGCCAUGGCACAGAGCUGUUCCACAGCCAGUAGAUAAUCAAGCAAUACUGUUAUGAGAACCGGUACAUGCAUUACUUUCUAAAGCUGACAUGUUUCUCCGGGCCCUUCUGCUUUUUAAACAAUGUUCCCAAAAUUCUUGUAGAAUUUCUCCACUCGCAAAAAGAACAAAGCUGGAGGCAUCACGCUACCUGACUUCAAACUAUACUGGGGAAAGGACUCCCUAUUUAAUAAAUGGUGUUGGGAAAACUGGCUAGCCAUAUGCGGAAAACAGAAACUUGACCCCUUCCUUACACCGUAUACAAAAAUUAACUCAAGAUGGAUUAAAGACUUAA